rnacentral:lncRNA from 12 species
CCUCCCCUGGGGAGAUGGAGUGUUACCUGAAUGGGGAAAGGGGCCUGCAUGACCUAUCUAUCUUCUUUCUCUUGUUCUUUCUUUGGGUUGCAGUCUUCUUGUAGAGACUAUACAUUUUGAUCUGCUCCUCCAGGGGUAGGUCUCCCCUGUGGGGUGACGAUGGGGAAGCCUUGGGUGGUCCAGUGCUCCAGAGUACGUAAGGCUGCCUAACAGGUUCAGUGCCAGGAGGCCUCUUGCUUCACUUAAACCCCAUAUCCAUAUCAGCUUAAUAGAGAGGAUGCUUUUGAACCUUAACUGAUUUUCCUUUGUCUUAUUUCUCAGUUGAUCUUCAACUCAGAUGGAGGUGUUAUGUGUAUCCUUAUCACACCCUCCCCCAAGAACUAUUGAGGGAACUAAAGAAUUCUAGCAGGACAGGGAAGAAUACCAUUUUCCCCAGAAUUUCUGGUACAUGGAUGAUGAUCAAUAAAUAUUAUGGUGAAAGAACAGUUUGUCAUAAUUUUACAGAAGGCAUACCAGAGGAUCAAGAUGAACAUUGGCUCAGGGAGGAUCUACUCUCAACCAUAGGGAUAAUCUUGGAUUUUCAUUGAUCAUUCCCUUUUCAUUUUUCAUUGUCUUUUCUUUCCAGUUUGCUUUUGUAUUUCCUUACUUUCAUUACCAGGUCAUUUUCCUUAAUUCCUUCUUUUUGGAAAACAGCAUGAAUAAAUGGAAGGAACAUGAAUUUUGGAGUAUAAAU